ACGACGUUCUGAUCUCCUCAUCCACGCACCAAACAGCCCCCGUCGAUGGCGCUCGGCCCUGUCGCUCCCCCGCCCUGUCGCCGGUCGCGUCACUCCGCCGCCCCGUUGCAGGCCCUCCCCCGCCACCCUGUCACCGGCCCCGUCGCUCCCCCGCCCUGUCGCCGGCCACGUCGCUCUCCCGCCCCGUCGUCGGCCCUCCCCCGCCCCGUCGCCGGCCCUCCCCCUCGUCCACGGCUCGCCCCGUCGAGGUCCAGGUCCGCGAUAGAUCCGCCUACGCCGGCGUCUUCCACACCGCCUCCCUCGAUGCCGGAUACGGCCCUGGUCGCCGGAUGCCGCUUUUUGUUAGUAUUUCUUGCUGGGGCUGCAGCCGAGGGAGAUGCAUAGUGGACGGCGGCAGAGCGGUUCGGCAGAAGCGUGGUCGGAGGCGGGGUGGUGGUGUGAUGGCUGGGCGGCGCGUGCAUGUGUUGCUGUGUUGGGGCUGUGGUGGCUUGUGUGUGGUCUCUGCUAGGCAAUGAGAGAUUUAAAGUGAGAUGAUUAAGAGGUCCGGCACCUUGAGCUCGCAUCCGGCCGUCCCGUGCCGCUAGAUCCCUCUGGGUAGCGGCUUCCAGUUGCCUGGCACCGCCCGCUCCUCGACCUCACGCCCGUUCAGGGGCGCCUCGUGUCGUCGGGUGUUGAGAGCUGCAAGUACCUUAAAUAUGUCACCACAACCCUUCUCUGUUUCAUCCUCAUACUACAUCAUCAUACGUCGCCGUUGACUUCCUGCCGAACCCCCGGUUGGCAGGAAAUGACUGAACUCGUGAUGCUCUUUCUUCCAGCGAUUUCAUUUGCAGGUGAAUUUGUGUCUAUGCUCCGUGGCGUCGAUCUGUAAAUCUUCCGAUGCUAUUUUGUGCCAUAUGGGCAAACACUAAGUUCUGAGGAAGAGAUGUCAUAUGUGUACCAUAUGGACAAACACUCUACAUUCUAAAGGACGGGCAGAACGUGCAUCCCUGGAUUGUCUUACUUAACCUAGCAACAAAGAGAGGAGGUUGCAAAGAAGCACGAAGGGGAAUACAUGUCUACAUUUUUCCUGACUGAGGUAAUCCGUUGAUCUUAUCAUGUUAGUUUUCUUAUAUGUUACCACUCCCUUGUGUAGAUAAGUAUUUUGCUUCAGGUAUCAAGGAAAUUAAAUUUCCUGGAGGAAGUGCUUUCUUCAAUAUCAGAUUGCUAUGAAGGUUAGAGGUUAGAGGUUAGUUUAGAGGUUAGUUUCCUGGAUGAUAUGCUCCACACAUUUUGAGAGCUUAGAGGUUAGUUUCUAGCAGAGUUAGUGACGGAACUGAAAACUGUUUCAGUGGAGGUUGAGGAUAAAUCUUAUGCUGCCAGAUGUUUAGAAUUUGUGAUAAGAACCAAAAUAUCAAGGUUCAAAAAGUGGAUGCUUCGAGUAUGAUAGAUCCUAUGUUUCUGUGUUAAUCUAUUUCAAAUAUCUUUAAUCAGAGUCAAAGCAUGACAUGUUAUGUCUUGGAUCAUGAGUGAAGUCCAAUGUUGACAUACAUUUAGUGUUUGCUGAUGGUUCUAGGUAGAACUAAAUUAGACUAAUUAAUAAACAUGCUGAGUUUUGAAUGUUGAAUUCGAGUUAUAGAAGCAUCCAUAGACAUGAUACUGAGCUCUUUACAAUCAGCUCAUAUUCUGGUGAUUGUAGCAAGAAAGUCAGUUUGUAGGUGGAGCUGCGGCCACCAUUGAUGAUGGCUUCCAUCUGGCGUGUACAGGAAAAUUGUAUAGUGCACGAGUGCUUGGCUUUCGAUUUUUAUGGGCUUUUCGCCAAAGAUUCUUUUGUGUUAUAUGCCAAAGAUGGAACUGUCUUAUCAGAAGGUUGAUUUUUUUGUCUUUCAGAGUGUACAAAACAGUUUCUAACCUGAACUAUUUUGAUUUGGGAAACAUGCUCUUGGUGUACAAGUUUAAAAUGUAAGUAUGCAUACUCACAGUCGAUUAGUCUACUAUUUGGUCCUUAGAAAAACGGAAGAUAGAACAAUUGAUAAAAGUGUUAGCUGGAACUCUGUUGCCUUGAUGAUUAUCAUCGUUCUCAAUUAUCGUCAUUUUCAUUUCAGUGAGGCGGCUCACUUUCUGUCCAGUGGAAUGCCACCGCUGGAUCCCUUGUUCUACAUAAGAAAACAAUAAUUCAAUUAUGUCGGUGAUAAACAAUUAACACCUCCAACUAUCCAAGCCAAGCACCUUCAACUGUCCAACUUGCUAAAUGGAACACUCGGCCACUAGAUGUGAUCGACUACUUUUCCAUCGCUACAAAGUCGUAGACAUACAGAAUGUACAAUAGAUUCUAAAAAGCUAAGAAAAAGCAACUGUCAGUCUCAAACCAACCAACUGAACUUUAAUUCUUUGAACAAGGAUGUCCAAGUAGUAAUUUAACCUGGCAUUGCCCGAGUAGUAAUUCAGCCCGGGGGUGGAUAAUCUAGCUCAGAUAUGGUGCGUGUGGACUUGCUAUUUGAGAUAGAUAUUGGACGAGUCCCCUAGCAACUUCAGUUACCUCUGCUCAUUUUGACCGAUGGUGAAGGCAAUGGUAGAGCUAGACUGGCCUAGAGAUGUCCUGCCACCUUUGUUUUCUUCUGAAUUUUCAGUUGUAGAUUUUUUUAAUGCCCUUUGCAUUCCAAUCUCAAAUCUGUUGCAUGUUGGAUUAUGGCUAACAAUAUUCCUGCAAGAGGGCGGAAAUGUGAAUCCUAGGACUGAAGAAUGGCGCAGCGAAGCGCGCGUUAGAUUCUAGUGUUAUAUGGUGCACACACAAAUGCAAGAUCCGAAUUAGCUACACAUAUGGUUUCUUAUCUUGCUUAUGGAAUCUUGUCGGCUAAUAUGAUUUCAGAAUCAUGUUUAUCAAAGUGGUUAUUAUCCAAACUUCGCUUGGGUACUCUGUGUUGUCAAUCAACACCUUUAAUCCUUCUCUGUUUGUGACUCUUGAUAAUGCUACAUAUAAUUGCCCAUGGAAGAAGACUUGCUUAGUUAGCUUAAAAAUGACCUAUUUAACCUAGUAUAGCUCUAAAAUGACCAAUACUUAGCAUAUUUUCCUCCAAAAUGACUUAAUAUGCUUAGCUAACUCUAAAAUGACAUAAUAUGCUUAAGAAAUG